CAGUAUUCCAAACAUAGUGGUUGACACAAUGUCAGUUUGACAUUUCGAUUUUUCUCUUUCUACUUUUUAAUUAUAACUUUCACUUGAUAAGGACCAAAACCAUAUGGUCGAAACGUCGUGAUAUAAUAAUCAAACAAUAAAUUGCCAGUUUGGUCGUAUAAACACUUGUUUAUUAAUUUAUUUACUGGCGACAUUUUUAAAAUUAAACAUAAUAUCAAUAUAGGAGUAUUCGAGAAUUUCUAUUUCUAUUUUAUAAUACUCAUUUUGUAUGUUUUAAUGGGAGCGGUACUGAUAAUAGCUAAUAAUAACACAUUAAGACUACCAAAUAUGAAUAAGGCACUUACAUUUCCACCACCACCAACAUUAACAUCAACACCGAAGUGGUACAGCGGAGAUCUAUCAUUUUUAAACAGUAAGCCUCUUUACAACUCUAGAUGUUGAUACUUUGGCAUUCAGAUCUAGAAAAACGGUUAUCUCAAACAUAUAGAUGAUGAAGUAGUCUCCGAAGAGCGAGGCAGCUAAAAUUAUGAUAACAAAAUGAGGACAAUGAAAACAUAUCUUCCAUCCCUCAUAUAUAACUUGAGAACGGAUUCCAACCAGAAAUAUACAUAAUUUCAUAAUACCUAUAUGUAUUUCGAUUAUACUUUGUAUUAAUGUAAUAAUGUAAUAUAACUUUGUAUUAAUGUAAUAUUAAUGUAAUAAACUUUGUA